rnacentral:rRNA from 1 species
UACGGAGGGGGCUAGCGUUGUUCGGAAUUACUGGGCGUAAAGCGCACGUAGGCGGAUCAGCCAGUCAGAGGUGAAAGCCCAGGGCUCAACCUUGGAAUUGCCUUUGAUACUGUUGAUCUGGAGUCCGGGAGAGGUGUGUGGAAUUCCGAGUGUAGAGGUGAAAUUCGUAGAUAUUCGGAGGAACACCAGAGGCGAAGGCGACACACUGGACCGGUACUGACGCUGAGGUG